rnacentral:rRNA from 1 species
GAUGAACGCUGGCGGCGUGCCUAAUACAUGCAAGUCGAGCGAACGGACGAGAAGCUUGCUUCUCUGAUGUUAGCGGCGGACGGGUGAGUAACACGUGGAUAACCUACCUAUAAGACUGGGAUAACUUCGGGAAACCGUAGCUAAUACCGGAUAAUAUUUUGAACCGCAUGGUUCAAAAGUGAAAGACGGUCUUGCUGUCACUUAUAGAUGGAUCCGCGCUGCAUUAGCUAGUUGGUAAGGUAACGGCUUACCAAGGCAACGAUGCAUAGCCGACCUGAGAGGGUGAUCGGCCACACUGGAACUGAGACACGGUCCAGACUCCUACGGGAGGCAGCAGUAGGGAAUCUUCCGCAAUGGGCGAAAGCCUGACGGAGCAACGCCGCGUGAGUGAUGAAGGUCUUCGGAUCGUAAAACUCUGUUAUUAGGGAAGAACAUAUGUGUAAGUAACUGUGCACAUCUGGACGGUACCUAAUCAGAAAACCACGGCUAACUACGU